AGAGGGGGCAAGCGUUGUUCGGAAUUACUGGGGGUAAAGGGCGCGUAGGUGGCCUUCUAAGUCAUGCGUGAAAUCCCCGGGCUCAACCCGGGAACUGCGUCUGAUACUGGAAGGCUUGAAUCCGGGAGAGGGAUGCGGAAUUCCAGGUGUAGCGGUGAAAUGCGUAGAUAUCUGGAGGAACACCGGUGGCGAAGGCGGCAUCCUGGACCGGCAUUGACGCUGAGGCGCGAAAGCCAGGGGAGCAAACGGGAUUAGAUACCCCGGUAGUCCUGGCCCUAAACGAUGAAUGCUUGGUGUGGCGGGUAUCGAUCCCUGCCGUGCCGAAGCUAACGCAUUAAGCAUUCCGCCUGGGGAGUACGGUCGCGAGGCUG
rnacentral:rRNA from 1 species